CGGGAUGUAGCGCAGCUGGUAGCGCGCUUGGUUUGGGACCAAGAUGUCGCAGGUUCGAUCCCUGUCAUCCCGA
rnacentral:tRNA from 1 species